AAUGAUUUUAAAACCGUAGCAGGAUUAAAGCUAAGUGAAAUUUAUGAGAUACCAAAUUUUAUUAUAUCGGACUUGAUGUUUGCUUAUUCGACGAGAAUGAUAUUCGAUCAGCGGUAAAUAAUCGUUGCAGACCGACCGUUGCUGAUAGUUUCAAAAAGCUUUCAUUGUUUUUAAAAUAGUCAAUAACUUUAUUUUAUUUUCGUGUAACUUUGUACUUAAUUUUUUAUUUUUUCUAAUAACGUAUCAUUUCAGUUUGCUCGUAACUAGAUCUCUUCCUCGUUCAGAAUUCUAUAAAAAUUAUUCGUAUGUUUUUAUGUCUUAUAUCUUUUCAAAGACGAGGUAUAAUUUUAUAAUCGAAUC
rnacentral:misc_RNA from 1 species